UAAUGCUUUCUAAACAUGAAAUUUUCAUUUCUGUAAACAGUUUGAUCUUUUAUCCACAUCUUUCUAAAUGUUGUUUGCUGCAGAAACCCCAUAUUAGGGAAUGGGUUAGAAAUCAUGUUAUGCUGUUUUUUGAACAGGUCAGAAUAAUGAGCUGCAGGAGAGGUCUCCAAGUGAUGAUUCCCAGCAAGGGUACCAGUCGCCAAAUGCUGUAACAUCCAAUACUGACAGACAGCUCAAUGGGCAGAAUGAUGAGCAGCAGGAGAGGUCUCCCCCAGUGAUGAUGGUCAGCAAGGGUACCAGUCGCCAAAUGCUAUUACAUCCAAUACAGACACACAGCUCAAUAGUAAGAACUGGCGGAGAUAAAAUUGGCCUGUUAUUUAGGAAGUGUUUAUCUUGUUAAUCAAUAGGUAUUAAGUUGAAAUCGGAAUGCCUUUGUUUAUCUUUUAGACUGUAGCACAUAAUCUGCAGGUAUUUAAUGAACUGUUGCCUUUUAACGAUAAUUGGCUAUAUUUUGUGCAAGUCCUCUGAAUGUAAGGUCCUCACAAAGAUUGUGAUAUUUUUCGAAGAGUAUAUUGUAUUCCAAUACUAGAUACUAACAUGUCUUUGCUUGUUUUGUCGGGUUUUUCACAUCACUUCGACAGUAUUUCUGUCAUUUUGCGACGCCCGGCUUAUAACAAGUGGAGGAAGAUCCAAGAAACCCACCUGAGUUACACAGACAGACAACUUGGUAGAACCACUGACCUACCGCAAGCCAGCCGGUGGCUUCCUCACAUAAGGAUAUUCACUCCUUUUGGGAUUCACACCCACAGCAGUGAGGGGCUAGAGAUUAUGAGUCAGCGACUCUAACCUUGCUACCACAGAGGCCCUGCUAACAUGUUUUUAGGUCUCCUGCAGCAGACAACAGUUGAAAAUAUUUUGUCAAAGGGGGAGUAGCAGUAGCAAUUUCUCACUUUGCCACAAUUUUUUAAUGCUUUCUAAACAUGAAAUUUUCAUUUCUGUAAACAGUUUGAUCUUUUAUCCACAUCUUUCUAAAUGUUGUUUGCUGCAGAAACCCCAUAUUAGGGAAUGGGUUAGAAAUCAUGUUAUGCUGUUUUUUGAACAGGUCAGAAUAAUGAGCUGCAGGAGAGGUCUCCAAGUGAUGAUUCCCAGCAAGGGUACCAGUCGCCAAAUGCUGUAACAUCCAAUACUGACAGACAGCUCAAUGGGCAGAAUGAUGAGCAGCAGGAGAGGUCUCCCCCAGUGAUGAUGGUCAGCAAGGGUACCAGUCGCCAAAUGCUAUUACAUCCAAUACAGACACACAGCUCAAUAGUAAGAACUGGCGGAGAUAAAAUUGGCCUGUUAUUUAGGAAGUGUUUAUCUUGUUAAUCAAUAGGUAUUAAGUUGAAAUCGGAAUGCCUUUGUUUAUCUUUUAGACUGUAGCACAUAAUCUGCAGGUAUUUAAUGAACUGUUGCCUUUUAACGAUAAUUGGCUAUAUUUUGUGCAAGUCCUCUGAAUGUAAGGUCCUCACAAAGAUUGUGAUAUUUUUCGAAGAGUAUAUUGUAUUCCAAUACUAGAUACUAACAUGUCUUUGCUUGUUUUGUCGGGUUUUUCACAUCACUUCGACAGUAUUUCUGUCAUUUUGCGACGCCCGGCUUAUAACAAGUGGAGGAAGAUCCAAGAAACCCACCUGAGUUACACAGACAGACAACUUGGUAGAACCACUGACCUACCGCAAGCCAGCCGGUGGCUUCCUCACAUAAGGAUAUUCACUCCUUUUGGGAUUCACACCCACAGCAGUGAGGGGCUAGAGAUUAUGAGUCAGCGACUCUAACCUUGCUACCACAGAGGCCCUGCUAACAUGUUUUUAGGUCUCCUGCAGCAGACAACAGUUGAAAAUAUUUUGUCAAAGGGGGAGUAGCAGUAGCAAUUUCUCACUUUGCCACAAUUUUUUAAUGCUUUCUAAACAUGAAAUUUUCAUUUCUGUAAACAGUUUGAUCUUUUAUCCACAUCUUUCUAAAUGUUGUUUGCUGCAGAAACCCCAUAUUAGGGAAUGGGUUAGAAAUCAUGUUAUGCUGUUUUUUGAACAGGUCAGAAUAAUGAGCUGCAGGAGAGGUCUCCAAGUGAUGAUUCCCAGCAAGGGUACCAGUCGCCAAAUGCUGUAACAUCCAAUACUGACAGACAGCUCAAUGGGCAGAAUGAUGAGCAGCAGGAGAGGUCUCCCCCAGUGAUGAUGGUCAGCAAGGGUACCAGUCGCCAAAUGCUAUUACAUCCAAUACAGACACACAGCUCAAUAGUAAGAACUGGCGGAGAUAAAAUUGGCCUGUUAUUUAGGAAGUGUUUAUCUUGUUAAUCAAUAGGUAUUAAGUUGAAAUCGGAAUGCCUUUGUUUAUCUUUUAGACUGUAGCACAUAAUCUGCAGGUAUUUAAUGAACUGUUGCCUUUUAACGAUAAUUGGCUAUAUUUUGUGCAAGUCCUCUGAAUGUAAGGUCCUCACAAAGAUUGUGAUAUUUUUCGAAGAGUAUAUUGUAUUCCAAUACUAGAUACUAACAUGUCUUUGCUUGUUUUGUCGGGUUUUUCACAUCACUUCGACAGUAUUUCUGUCAUUUUGCGACGCCCGGCUUAUAACAAGUGGAGGAAGAUCCAAGAAACCCACCUGAGUUACACAGACAGACAACUUGGUAGAACCACUGACCUACCGCAAGCCAGCCGGUGGCUUCCUCACAUAAGGAUAUUCACUCCUUUUGGGAUUCACACCCACAGCAGUGAGGGGCUAGAGAUUAUGAGUCAGCGACUCUAACCUUGCUACCACAGAGGCCCUGCUAACAUGUUUUUAGGUCUCCUGCAGCAGACAACAGUUGAAAAUAUUUUGUCAAAGGGGGAGUAGCAGUAGCAAUUUCUCACUUUGCCACAAUUUUUUAAUGCUUUCUUAACAUGAAAUUUUCAUUUCUGUAA